rnacentral:miRNA from 1 species
UACCAGGAUGGACCGCUGCACACC